GUCAUUUUCUUCAAACUCUUGUUCCAACAUCUUUCCAAAUGAACAAGGAUUUUCGGCAUCAUCCUUUACUUUGGGGCUAGCACGACUAAAACAUCUGUCAUAGCAAAGCCCCAAAAACCACAAAGUUCAAUGCCAGCCUCUCAGUCUUCAGAGCCCAGGAGAAACCUACACCAUGUGCUUCUGUAACUGGAAGGGCUGUGAGGUGCAUUUCAGCUCCGUCUCAUACCCAUGGAGGAAGCAGAAGCAUUCUCAGCACUGCUGAAUCAAAUGGCUGAAUCGAUGGCUCGGAACCUUGUUUAGUGUUAGGCGGGACUCUUGUUCAAGAGACCAGAAGAAAGACUGCAAGGUAGUUGGCUAGGAGUGCGGAUGAAAGACUUCUCCAGAAAGUGGGGGCAGACACUCGGCAUUGCCUCAUGGUUGCUAAGUUACAUAAGAAGCAAGAUCACAAUCGGAAUGCUGCUCUGGCAAACGCAAAUGCGCAAAUGCGGAGCUCAGUUUAAAAUGGGGGAUCAGCAAGAUCCCUUAAAGCGUUUUUUUUUUUUUGACAAGAGAUCAGCAGGCUUGUUUAUAGGAUGAUACCUUAGAGUUACAACAGCGCAGAGUCCCCUCUUCCACUUGUCCAGAGAUCGUGUUUGCAAAGUCAAGAUACAGCCUUUCUUUCCGCGCUGAUGCAGAUCGUCUAGGGGCAGUACGCUUUAUUAAACUUCUAAAGUCUCAAGUUCUACAGAAUUGAUAGAGCAAUCCCAGAAGCCCUUUGACUAGGCUCUAGAGCCCCUCCCCCUUCCUCCUCCUCCUCCUCCUCCUCCUCCUCCUCCUCCUCCUCCUCCUCCUCCUCCUCCUCCUCCUCCUCCUCCUCAGCUUCUGACCGACUGGUAUUUGACAGGGCCAUUCUGUGUAUUGUAGGAUGCCCCCUCUCUCAUGGUGGGGCAAGCAGGUAUAAGCAGGUUUCAGGAUAAAGCAGAAACCUGCUGUGAUUUCAGGUUCUUGUGUCCCUGAAUAAGAAAUUGGGCAGAGAGUAGUGGGAAUAGAGGCAGUGUGUCAAGAAGAGGGCAGUUUCAAGAAAGAAAGCAGUCCAGAGCUUGGGGAGGAGCUAGACGCUCAUGCUCCACAUACCCUGCAUGUUGAAACCUGUAUAGGUUGUCUGGGUACUGCAUACCUUUUCUGCACAUGCUCUAUACCAUUUCAGUCUUUAUUCGGAUGAGCCUUUCGCUUGUAUUCUUUUGUCUGUGUUGAUUUAGCUUCCACUUUCUGCCCUUAUUCCUCCUCUAAUGCUAUAACCCUCUCCCCUCACCUGUCCAGGUCAUUGCCAAAACAAUGGCUCAAGAGAGUCUGUCUGUAUGGCCAUUUUGUAAGAAGCCUACAGCCACUCACAUGUUGGAUAUUUUAAGGUGCCACGCCAAUUCUUCUGCUGACUGCCUGUAGUUCCUACAAUCUAUUGUUAAAGAAUCAUCAUUCAUUGUUUCAAGCUUCUGGAUUCCCAGUGAUCAAGUAUGGGAGAGAAUAGGAUAUUUGACUAAUGCUCAGCGAGAUGGGAAAAAAAAACACACCAUGUAGAUCUUUUCAGGAGUCACUAAAUUAAGUAACUAAAUCUAUUCUCUAUAUCAAACGUUUAUCCUCUUUUCUGUUUCCAUGACUUUUAAUUUCCGUUUCCCUUACCCUGACUUGAUACUGUCCCCACCAAAUGUCACCUGCUACCUGCCUUCUUGUCUCCCUGAUAUUUUGACUCAAUUUCUUACUGUAGCUCACUCUCAGGUCAGGAAUCACGUAACAAUCUCAACGUCUUACAUAUUCCCUUUCUUUACGUUGCUCACUAUUUGAAGAAAAGGUGGAUGCUUUCUGCAAAAAAAAAAAAAGGGGUUCUUUUUGGGCUUGCAAGUCACUCCAUUUGCAGCGCUAAACAUGUCGUAUUACCUGGUUCUGUGUCUUCACUUGAAGAUUGCACUGUUUAUGUAUUGCAUCUCCAGGAGGCCAGCUCAGGGGUGAAAUAUUACUUCAUUAUUUUGUGGGUGGAUUAUGGUAAGUUCGGCUGCAGUGGAAGAAUUCUAGAAUACUGUAUUGUAAACCAGAGGCUGUGGGAUGAUGUCACAGGUGAGGCAGGGACAAGGUAGAAGGAGGCCUGUCAUUGGACGAGAAGGAAGGAUGGGCGGGAAAAAGUUUGAAGGAAGAGGAGGAGACUGGAAUGGACAGGAGGAAGAGACAGGAGGGAGAGUGAGAGAAGCCGUGGCAGGACAAUAUGACAGGUGACAUUAAGAUUCUACACUGUACCUGUACAGGUUGUUAUGAAUGUUUUUAAGGGAUGGAUAUGUAUUGGGCUUUGUAUGUUUAGGUGGGCAAUUAUAUCUUGUCAAUUGGACCAGA